CUCUUGCUAUAAAAUUUGAUGAACAAAAAGACAUUGACUUAAAAUAAUAAUUAAUUUAUUAAGAUAAAUUAAGAGUAUUCCUAGAAUUAUUAUAAACCAUUUACAAUAUUAAUGAUGAAGAAUUGAUCUCAUAUAAUAUGAAAUCAAGCUAUCGUGAACAUUUCAGUGAAAUAUAUAUAAACCAGUUUGUUAACUUGGUCAUCGGUUAGGCGAUUGCGGUAUUUACCGUGGAUAUUCCCCAUCACACACUAUUCGCUGAUGUUGGAACAUUUAAUAAACAAACUGUCAAAUUUUGAAGGAGGAGCACACUAUUCCCAUUACAUUUACACCAAGUUACACCGUCAACGUGUUGCGCUACCUCCCAUAAGCUUAAGCUAAAACCUAUCCAGUUUUUGAUCUAUAUUGAAAAUAUCUUUAUAACUGUUAUUUGAAUACUGGCAAUCUGAUUUCCAAUUUCUUUUGGAUCUAGAAGAUAUGUAAAAAGUAUGGUAUUGCUAACCUUGUAGCGCGCUCCUUUUUUUAGAUGCUAAUUUUUAAAAAUAUAAUGAAUGUAAUUAACAUUAAUAGUUAAAAUAGCUCAAUUAAACACAUAUACAUUCAACAUGUAUAUUUUCUUCCUACACUAUUUCACAUAUUGAUAUUUAUCGUACAAUCUAAUUUCCCGCACUAGAUAACUAAAUCGCGCGUGAUUACUUUAAAUUCACCGCUCCCUUAAUUAUUUAUUAACACUAUUUAUGUUUUUCACACUAAUAUAUUUCGCGCGUGAUCUCUUUCAUCGCUCCCCAUCAGGGGUUCGAACCGAACCGCAAAACCAGAAUGAACCGUUAUGAUUUUCUGAACCGUAACCUUAACCGAACCGUUAUGAAGAAAAUAUUAAAAGAGCGAACCGAACCGUUAUAAAUAUUUAACCGGUUCAAAACGCUUUUAAAAAUAAUUAAUUUUAAAUUAUUAACCUAAAUUUAAAAUUUUAAUUUUCCUUGGGGGCAUUUUUUA